UCCUGGCUCAGGAUGAACGCUGGCGGCGUGCUUAACACAUGCAAGUCGAACGAAGCACUCUAUUUGAUUUUCUUCGGAAAUGAAGAUUUUGUGACUGAGUGGCGGACGGGUGAGUAACGCGUGGGUAACCUGCCUCAUACAGGGGGAUAACAGUUGGAAACGACUGCUAAUACCGCAUAAGCGCACAGGAUCGCAUGGUCCGGUGUGAAAAACUCCGGUGGUAUGGGAUGGACCCGCGUCUGAUUAGCCAGUUGGCAGGGUAACGGCCUACCAAAGCGACGAUCAGUAGCCGACCUGAGAGGGUGACCGGCCACAUUGGGACUGAGACACGGCCCAAACUCCUACGGGAGGCAGCAGUGGGGAAUAUUGCACAAUGGGGGAAACCCUGAUGCAGCGACGCCGCGUGAGCGAAGAAGUAUUUCGGUAUGUAAAGCUCUAUCAGCAGGGAAGAAAAUGACGGUACCUGACUAAGAAGCACCGGCUAAAUACGUGCCAGCAGCCGCGGUAAUACGUAUGGUGCAAGCGUUAUCCGGAUUUACUGGGUGUAAAGGGAGCGCAGGCGGUGCGGCAAGUCUGAUGUGAAAGCCCGGGGCUCAACCCCGGUACUGCAUUGGAAACUGUCGUACUAGAGUGUCGGAGGGGUAAGUGGAAUUCCUAGUGUAGCGGUGAAAUGCGUAGAUAUUAGGAGGAACACCAGUGGCGAAGGCGGCUUACUGGACUGUAACUGACGCUGAGGCUCGAAAGCGUGGGGAGCAAACAGGAUUAGAUACCCUGGUAGUCCACGCCGUAAACG
rnacentral:rRNA from 1 species